rnacentral:rRNA from 1 species
GCGUGUAGGUGAACCUGCGGAAGGAUCAUUACCGAGUGCGGGCUGCCUCCGGGCGCCCAACCUCCCACCCGUGACUACCUAACACUGUUGCUUCGGCGGGGAGCCCCCCAGGGGCGAGCCGCCGGGGACCACUGAACUUCAUGCCUGAGAGUGAUGCAGUCUGAGCCUGAAUACAAAUCAGUCAAAACUUUCAACAAUGGAUCUCUUGGUUCCGGCAUCGAUGAAGAACGCAGCGAACUGCGAUAAGUAAUGUGAAUUGCAGAAUUCAGUGAAUCAUCGAGUCUUUGAACGCACAUUGCGCCCCCUGGCAUUCCGGGGGGCAUGCCUGUCCGAGCGUCAUUGCUGCCCUCAAGCCCGGCUUGUGUGUUGGGUCGUCGUGGCCCCCGGCCGACAGGCCCGAAAGGCAGCGGCGGCACCGUGUCCGGUCCUCGAGCGUAUGGGGCUUUGUCACCCGCUCGAUUAGGGCCGGCCGGGCGCCAGCCGGCGUCUCCAACCUUAUUUUUCUCAGGUUGAC